rnacentral:piRNA from 1 species
UGAGGAUCACUGGAGCUUGCUG